rnacentral:rRNA from 1 species
UACAGAGGGGGCAAGCGUUGUUCGGAAUUACUGGGCUUAAAGGGUGCGUAGGCGGCGCAGAAAGUUGGGUGUGAAAUCCCUCGGCUCAACCGAGGAACUGCGCCCAAAACUACUGUGCUUGAGGAAGAUAGAGGUAAGCGGAACUUACGGUGGAGCGGUGAAAUGCGUUGAUAUCGUAAGGAACACCUGUGGCGAAAGCGGCUUACUGGGUCUUUUCUGACGCUGAUGCACGAAAGCCAGGGGAGCAAACGGG